GAUGAACGCUGACAGAAUGCUUAACACAUGCAAGUCGAUGGGGAAGUGGUGCUUGCACCAUGGUAACCAUGGCGGACGGGUGAGUAACGCGUAAGGAACUUGCCUGCGGGACUGGGAUACAGCAGGAAACUGCCGAUAAUACCGGAUAAGGUCAUUAAGCUGCAUAGCUUAGUGAUGAAAGGAGACGCCUGCGGAGAGCCUUGCGUCCUAUUAGCUAGUUGGAGGGGUAACGGCCCACCAAGGCGAAGAUAGGUAGCCGGCCUGAGAGGGUGGACGGCCACAAGGGGACUGAGAUACGGCCCUUACUCCUACGGGAGGCAGCAGUGGGGAAUAUUGGACAAUGGGGGCAACCCUGAUCCAGCAAUUCUGUGUGCACGAAGACGGUUUUCGGAUUGUAAAGUGCUUUCAGCAGGGAAGAAGGAAGUGACGGUACCUGCAGAAGAAGCGACGGCUAAAUACGUG
rnacentral:rRNA from 1 species